UACAGAGGGUGCGAGCGUUAAUCGGAUUUACUGGGCAUAAAGGGCGCGUAGGCGGAUACGUGAGUGUGAUGUGAAAGCCCCGGGCUUAACCUGGGAAGAGCAUCGCAAACGACGUAACUAGAGUACAAGAGAGGGUGGCGGAAUUUCCGGUGUAGCGGUGAAAUGCGUAGAGAUCGGAAGGAACGUCGAUGGCGAAGGCAGCCACCUGGCCUGAUACUGACGCUGAGGCGCGAAAGCGUGGGGAGCAAACAGG
rnacentral:rRNA from 1 species